UGGAUGACAUCAGCCUAACCCACUGCACUGUGGCCUUGACUGAGUUCAAAAGGACAUUCACACCCUCAGCCUUCCUUUACUGAGGGUCAGAGAGAAAGAUGUUAGCAUCUGCUGAAUCUCAAGUAACACACUGCUUGUUUGCAAGUAUUUGCUGCCUUGGUUUGUUCUGGAACUGGACCUGCAAUAUCUCCGAGGGAUGCACAACCCAGAUCCUCCUUCAAGGAUUGAUGGGAUGUAGAGCUGCAGGGAGUGCAAUCAGCAGAUGGCCUCCAGCUGUGGACUCCUUCAGUGCUGUCUCAGCUGCAGAGAGCCACCCUAUCCAAUUCAAGUCCUUCCCAGAGCAGUGCACAUCCAGUAACUGAAUGUAGAUAUCUAAGAAAUGUCUCUACCGCAAACUCCACCUCAGCAUCUGCUUCUGUAGAUUCCAGCCUGGCAUAAAGG